CCUACGGGUGGCUGCAGUGGGGAAUAUUGCACAAUGGGGGAAACCCUGAUGCAGCGACGCCGCGUGAGUGAAGAAGCGUUUCGGCGCGUAAAGCUCUGUCAGCGGGGAAGAAACACGGUUCGCGAGAGCCGCGGACGGUACCCGACCAAGAAGCCCCGGCUAACUACGUGCCAGCAGCCGCGGUAAUACGGAGGAUGCGAGCGUUAUCCGGAUUUAUUGGGUUUAAAGGGUGCGCAGGCGGAGGUGCAAGUCAGCGGUCAAAUUGCGGGGCUCAACCCCGUACUGCCGUUGAAACUGCAUCCCUUGAGUGCGCGAGAAGUAUGCGGAAUGCGUGGUGUAGCGGUGAAAUGCAUAGAUAUCACGCAGAACUCCGAUUGCGAAGGCAGCAUACCGGCGCGCAACUGACGCUCAUGCACGAAAGCGUGGGUAUCGAACAGGAUUAGAUACCCUUGUAGUC
rnacentral:rRNA from 1 species